rnacentral:rRNA from 1 species
AGCGAACGCUGGCGGCAGGCCUAACACAUGCAAGUCGAACGAACCUUCGGGUUAGUGGCGGACGGGUGAGUAACACGUGGGAACGUGCCUUUUGGUUCGGAACAACUCAGGGAAACUUGAGCUAAUACCGAAUGUGCCCUUCGGGGGAAAGAUUUAUCGCCAUUAGAGCGGCCCGCGUCUGAUUAGCUUGUUGGUGAGGUAAAGGCUCACCAAGGCUACGAUCAGUAGCUGGUCUGAGAGGAUGAUCAGCCACAUUGGGACUGAGACACGGCCCAAACUCCUACAGGAGGCAGCAGUGGGGAAUCUUGCGCAAUGGGCGAAAGCCUGACGCAGCCAUGCCGCGUGAAUGAUGAAGGUCUUAGGAUUGUAAAAUUCUUUCACCGGGGACGAUAAUGACGGUACCCGGAGAAGAAGCCCCGGCUAACUUCGUGCCAGCCGCCGCAGUAAAAC